GGCCGAGUGGUGUAGUGGUAACAUGUUUCCCUCCGAAGGAAAAGAGCCUGGGUUCAAACCCCAGCUUGGUCG